GGGCUCACACCCUCGGACCCGGCGCUGAGGGGACAAGUUCCUCCCCGCCCCCAUUUCUUGAGUCCAGAGUUUUCAGGAAAUGAAGAGUUCUGGCAGUGUAUUACCAGUUACAACCUGCAGAACUCCAGCUAAUACUUUGAAGAAUAGCAGCAAUCCUAGAACCAGAUUUUCAAAAUAGAUGUGCCUGAAAAUCUGAAGGUGGGACAGAAGAGUCAAUUAAAGGCGAUAUAGCAACUUAAAAAAUCCCAGACCUUUUCAAACCUAUAUUGACUGCUGCUUAUAAUACCGAUGAAUUGCCAUGCUUUUACAUUUUCAUACUUGAAUAUGCAUGCCAGAGGAAGAGUGCAUUUAGAAUAUUUACCCG